UACGGGGGGGGGCAAGCGUUGUUCGGAAUUACUGGGCGUAAAGGGCUCGUAGGCGGCCAACUAAGUCAAACGUGAAAUCCCUCGGCUUAACCGGGGAACUGCGUCUGAUACUGGAUGGCUUGAGUUUGGGAGAGGGAUGCGGAAUUCCAGGUGUAGCGGUGAAAUGCGUAGAUAUCUGGAGGAACACCGGUGGCGAAGGCGGCAUCCUGGACCAACACUGACGCUGAGGAGCGAAAGCCAGGGGAGCAAAACGGGG
rnacentral:rRNA from 1 species